rnacentral:rRNA from 1 species
UGGGGAUUUGGUACAAUGGGCGAAAGCCUGAUACAGCCAUGCCGCGUGUGUGAAGAAGGCCCUAGGGUUUGAAAACUGUUUUUGUAGGGAAGAAAACCUUGAUACGUGUACCCGGCUGAAUGUACGGUACCAAUAAAGAACGGCUAACUCAAUGCCUGCCCCCGCGGUCAUUAAUAAA